CUACGGGUCGCACCAGUGGGGAAUCUUAGACAAUGGGCGCAAGCCUGAUCUAGCCAUGCCGCGUGAGUGACGAAGGCCUUAGGGUCGUAAAGCUCUUUCGCUGGGGAAGAUAAUGACGGUACCCAGUAAAGAAACCCCGGCUAACUCCGUGCCAGCAGCCGCGGUAAUACGGGAGGGGGUUAGCGUUGUUCGGAAUUACUGGGCGUAAAGCGCGCGUAGGCGGAUCAGAAAGUUGGGGGUGAAAUCCCGGGGCUCAACCCCGGAACUGCCUUCAAAACUCCUGGUCUUGAGUUCGAGAGAGGUGAGUGGAAUUCCGAGUGUAGAGGUGAAAUUCGUAGAUAUUCGGAGGAACACCAGUGGCGAAGGCGGCUCACUGGCUCGAUACUGACGCUGAGGUGCGAAAGCGUGGGGAGCAAACAGGAUUAGAUACCCUCGUAGUC
rnacentral:rRNA from 1 species